GAGUAUAAAUAUCUGCCAACAAAGUCAGGAACCAUUAAUGUCCGGGACUGCAGAGGGAAGAAGUAGCUGGAAGAAGUCCUGGCGUUUGGACCAGAUGAAGAAGAAAUAAAAAGGACCCCACAUCCAUACCCCGGAUGCUCCACUGAAUAGAGACACUGCCGAAGAUAUGUGCCUCAGCUCCCAGAUAGCGGAGGCUCAGGAUCGGCCUGCAGAACCCAAAAAGAAUUCACAGUUAUGCUGUUUCUGAAAGAAAGCAGUCAAGUUAUUUUCAAUUACUUUAAGGAGUGUAAGGCCGGAAGAUCAAAGCUAC